rnacentral:lncRNA from 1 species
AGCCCUGGCUGUAGGCUGUCAUAAAAUUUAGAACUAGAGAAAUAUGAACAGUUUGGAUACAUAAGGAUUUGGAAAUUGCCGAGGAAGGGAUUUUCCUGAGAAAGCUAUUCUGUUCUAAUCUUGAAAAAAGGCUUUCACCUCAGAAGAGGAAUCUUGCUUCUUUAAAGCUCUCAUGGUGCUUUCAUUUUAAAGGAGACUUUAGAAGAAAAAGAAUGGAAUGAAGUUUUGAGUUACAAUUCAAAUUUGGGGAUCAAUCCAGGAACACAGAAGGACUUUUAUACGCAAAGGGAGUUUGCCAGAUCUGAAGCUUGUAUACUAAAUACCUCAAAAGCUAGGCUCGGCAGCAGCAUAGGUUGUAGUACCAUCUGUGGCCACCAGAUGGGGGAAGAGACAUGUAAAUGAACUGUAAUUCUGCGCCUCCUCAACUGUGUGGUUCCCCAUGCCUGAGCCCUUCCAGGGUCUCUCUGAUCAUGAAAAAUAAACUCCUUUGGGUCAUUUGCACUGCACUUGGCAUUUCCAAAGUGUACCACUGUGCCGAAACCUUAUGUUCCACUCAAGUGUUCCUUUCCUGUGCAAGGAACAGCUUCUUGAAGUCCUCAAGGUGGGCAGGCGCCAUCUCAGGAUGCGUCUCUUUCUUCAUUCACUAUGAGUAGUGCCCAAGCCUCGUAAAUCCUGAGAAUCCCUUGGCAACUCCCCAACUGUUUUCUUAACAUGAGAAUUUUUCUAAGCAACAUGUUACUUGAGCUACAAAUCAAAAUGCAAAUUGCUUCUGCUUCACAGGCAGACAGCCGCAUUCCAGGGUGGGAGAGCGUGCUGGUACCAUCUUCUCUCAAGUAGCUCUGUCAUCGGGGCUUUCCACCAAGUCCCCUCUAAGAAUACUCUGCAGUCUCCAAACGCCAAGUUAUUGCUGAGCCCCCAAUGGCAACCUAUUGACAUUCUUUCUGAAAGGGCCACAGGCGUGAGUGGUUGAAACGGUCUUUCUGGAGCAAUUAAAUCAACCUCCUCAGUGGAGAAAUUUGUUACUUCUAAGUUUUUUGGGUUUUGUUUUGUUUUUUAAUCUAGUAGGAUUAUAGUCAUCCUCUAAAAUGGCCUUUCUCUAACUUCAAAGUCCACUGGUUCUAUGGGUCAUUUCUUUAUCAAGAUAUGCAGAGGUCUAUCUCCCAAGGCCUGAAUCCUAACUCUGGACUCCAUUCUAAUCAUUCUGCUCAGUCCCUUCCAAGAGGCGAGUGCUUGCCAACGUUGCUUCUUGCCACAAGCCUCCCAGAUCUCCUCCCCUUAGACCGUCCCAGCUUGAGUCCUGAUGCAGUCAUGCAUUCCUCGUAAUUCCCCUUUGAGACAUGGUGUGUGGGUGUUCAGUUCUGUGUCUGGUGGCUAUGGACAGACAGUGCGUCUCCCUGUGACCUGUGCUAGCUGUGAGGCAGCUCGGAUAUGGAAGAGCUGUUUGGUUUGAACCGUGAAGAAAACUGUGUAUUGAGUUAGCUGAGAUUAAAGAAACAAACGAACAAACAAACAAAAGCUCAUCACGUGACUGUUAAUGUAAACCUGGUUAUUAAAAUAAUUAU